rnacentral:rRNA from 1 species
AAUUUGACUCAACACGGGGAAACUCACCAGGUCCAGACAUAGGUAGGAUUGACAGAUUGAGAGCUCUUUCUUGAUUCUAUGGGUGGUGGUGCAUGGCCGUUCUUAGUUGGUGGAGUGAUUUGUCUGCUUAAUUGUGAUAACGAACGAGACCUUAACCUGCUAAAUAGUUAUACGAUUCCCGAAUCGUAGUCAACUUCUUAGAGGAUUAUCGGUGUUAACCGAUGGAAGUUUGAGGCAAUAAUCAGGUCUGUGAUGCCC